AAUCUUGCACAAUGGGCGCAAGCCUGAUGCAGCGACGCCGCGUGAGGGAAGAAGGCCUUCGGGUUGUAAACCUCUUUCAGGAGGGAAGAAGCGCAAGUGACGGUACCUCCAGAAGAAGGACCGGCCAACUACGUGCCAGCAGCCGCGGUAAUACGUAGGGUCCAAGCGUUGUCCGGAAUUAUUGGGCGUAAAGAGCUCGUAGGCGGUCCGGUAAGUCGGAAGUGAAAUCUCAAGGCUCAACCUUGAAAUUGCUUUCGAUACUGGCGGACUUGAGGCAGGUAGGGGAAGGUGGAAUUCCUGGUGUAGCGGUGAAAUGCGCAGAUAUCAGGAGAAACACCGGUGGCGAAGGCGGCCUUCUGGGCCUGUUCUGACGCUGAGGAGCGAAAGCGUGGGGAGCAAAC
rnacentral:rRNA from 1 species